UGUCCUACGGGACGCAGCAGUGAGGAAUAUUGGUCAAUGGUCGGGAGACUGAACCAGCCAAGCCGCGUGAGGGAUGAAGGUACAGAGUAUCGUAAACCUCUUUUGUCAGGGAACAAAGGCGGGGACGUGUCCCCGGAUGAGUGUACCUGAAGAAAAAGCAUCGGCUAACUCCGUGCCAGCAGCCGCGGUAAUACGGAGGAUGCGAGCGUUAUCCGGAUUUAUUGGGUUUAAAGGGUGCGUAGGCGGAAUAUCAAGUCAGCGGGAAAAAUUCGGGGCUCAAGCACGUCGUGCCGUUGAAACUGAUG
rnacentral:rRNA from 1 species